rnacentral:tRNA from 1 species
GGGGAUUUAGCUCAGUGGUAGAGUACUUGCCUAGCAAGCACAAGGCUCUGGGUUCGGUCCCCAGCUCCG